GACGAACGCUGGCGGCGUGCUUAACACAUGCAAGUCGAACGGAAAGGCCCCUUUGGGGGUACUCGAGUGGCGCACGGGUGAGUAACACGUGAGUAACCUGCCCUUGACUUCGGGAUAACUUCAGGAAACUGGGGCUAAUACCGGAUAGGAAUCCUUGCUGCAUGGUGGGGGUUGGAAAGCUUCGGCGGUUUUGGAUGGACUCGCGGCUUAUCAGCUUGUUGGUGGGGUAGUGGCUUACCAAGGCUGUGACGGGUAGCCGGCCUGAGAGGGCGACCGGCCACAUUGGGACUGAGGUACGGCCCAGACUCCUACGGGAGGCAGCAGUGGGGAAGAUUGCACAAUGGGCGGAAGCCUGAUGCAGCAACGCCGCGUGCGGGAUGACGGCCUUCGGGUUGUAAACCGCUUUCAGCAGGGGCGAAGCUUGUGGUGACGGUACCUGCAGAAGAAGCACCGGCUAACUACGUG
rnacentral:rRNA from 1 species